AGAGCGUGUAAAGUAGCGCCAUCUAGGAACAAGACAUCAUCUACUUGUCUUCUUUGUGUCACUCGUCUCAUCUAGGAACAAGACAUCAUCUACUUGUCUUCUUUGUGUCACUCGUCUCAUCUAGGAACAAGACAUCAUCUACUUGUCUUCUUUGUGUCACUCGUCUCAUCUAGGAACAAGACAUCAUCUACUUGUCUUCUUUGUGUCACUCGUCUCAUCUAGGAACAAGACAUCAUCUACUUGUCUUCUUUGUGUCACUCGUGUCAUCUGACACACUGUGUGGAAAGUGACAUCGUUUUAAGUUGACAUGGAAAUAAAUGCCAAGACAAAAUUCUUUUCCGUCAAGUCGAAGAGAACAUGUCCAGGCACAUAGUCACCUCAAAGUGGAUUGCUAAGAGUAGGUCUAGAUGUUUCUGCUCUAGGCACAUAGUCACCUCAAAGUGGAUUGCUAAGGAGUAGGUCUAGGUGUUUCUGCUCUAGGCACAUAGUCACCUCAAAGUGGAUUGCUAAGAAGUAGGUCUAGAUGUUUCUGCUCUAGGCACAUAGUCACAUCAAAGUGGAUUGCUAAGAAGUAGGUCUAGGUGUUUCUGCUCUAGGCACAUAGUCACAUCAAAGUGGAU
rnacentral:sRNA from 1 species